AUGGACAACAGAUAUACCGUUGACCCCCAGAAUCCCAAAUACAAAGAGGGGAGGCGCAUGGCUGUUGAACUGAAGCAUAAUCAGAUUCUCGCUGAAGCCCGGGAAGCAGCUCAGAUCAGGAAACAGACAUGCUCUGGAAGAGACUCUCCGUCAAAGAGGACAAGGAAAGGACAAGGCAAGCCCAGGGGGAGGCAUGGUGGGCGACGCAGAGCCUCAGCUACAGGUGCACAGCCUCCAACUGAGUGCUCCCUGUUAUCCAGUGUGGGAGAUCUGCCUACUUUACCCUCAGCAAGUCCUCUGGCAAAAUUUGAAAAAAAUAUGGAGAGGCUCUCUGCUAUUUUGGCAUCGUGUCAUUCUGAUGAGCCUCAAAGAAGCUCAGCAUCAUCCUGGUCUUUCCGUCAGCAGAAAGCCUCGGAGCGCUGGAGAGAGUCAAGACCAUACAACCUCCAGUGCCUCAUAGAGAAAGAGGCUGUUGGUCAUCCUUUGUGUUGCCUCUGCAAUGAGCCUGCUGUCAUUCGGUGCAGAGAUUGUCUUCCCGAGGAGUGGUUCUGUGGCGACUGUGAUUUACUGCAUCACAAAAAGCAGCCACUCCACAAAAGGGAAUCCAUUAUUGAUGUUUUUUUUAAGCUAUUCCUCCAACUACACAGAUCAUGAAACAGGGGGAUGGAUUUUGCACACAUGAGCAAGCAUGCAUUUUGCCAGCUGUGAAGGCACCAUGCUGUUCUUGUGAGGGCACAAACAUCAUGAUAUCACCAGGGAAACCAGUGAUUUUAAUUACCAUCAAUGGUAAGAACAAUUCACUUCACUACACAGAUCAUGUGUAUUAAGUAUGUGGUUGGUAUGUAUUCAUGAAGUUGUUUAUUUGCAUUAUGUUCCAAGGGCGU
rnacentral:lncRNA from 1 species